rnacentral:rRNA from 1 species
CAUAGCGAUUUGGACCCACCUGAUUUCCAUUCCGAACUCAGAAGUGAAACGAAUUAGCGCCGAUGGUAGUGUGGGGCUUCCCCAUGUGAGAGUAGGA